GAUGAACGCUGGCGGCGUGCUUAACACAUGCAAGUCGGACGGGCUCCUUCGGGAGCCAGUGGCGACCGGGUGCGUAACACGUAGAUGACCGACCCUUAAGUGGGGGACAACUGCCCGAAAGGGUAGCUAAUACCGCAUACGCUGCCUGGGUCAGACCAGGCAGGAAAGUCGUGAGACGCUUGCGGGAGGGUCUGCGGCCCAUCAGGUCGUUGGCGGGGUAACGGCCCACCAAGCCAUUGACGGGUCGGGGGUGUGAGAGCAUGACCCCCCACACUGG
rnacentral:rRNA from 1 species